AGUAAUAAAUAAAAAAUAAACUGUAAAUUUAUUUAUGAAUAUUAAUAAAUAAAUAUUCUAUUACUA
rnacentral:tRNA from 1 species